AGCUUUGCUCAGGGAUAGUAUCAUAGCCAAUGAGGUUUAUGUGAGGCGUGAUUAUUGCUAAUUGUGUGUGAAACUUUUGAAAAUUGUAAAGCACUGUAGAAUUUAAAGAAUCUUUCAUUCAAUAAAAA
rnacentral:snRNA from 1 species